GAUGAACGCUGGCGGCGUGCCUAAUACAUGCAAGUCGAGCGAACGGACGAGAAGCUUGCUUCUCUGAUGUUAGCGGCGGACGGGUGAGUAACACGUGGAUAACCUACCUAUAAGACUGGGAUAACUUCGGGAAACCGGAGCUAAUACCGGAUGAUAUUUUGAACCGCAUGGUUCAAAAGUGAAAGACGGUCUUGCUGUCACUUAUAGAUGGAUCCGCGCUGCAUUAGCUAGUUGGUAAGGUAAUGGCUUACCAAGGCAACGAUGCAUAGCCGACCUGAGAGGGUGAUCGGCCACACUGGAACUGAGACACGGUCCAGACUCCUACGGGAGGCAGCAGUAGGGAAUCUUCCGCAAAGGGCGAAAGCCUGACGGAGCAACGCCGCGUGAGUGAUGAAGGUCUUCGGAUCGUAAAACUCUGUUAUUAGGGAAGAACAUAUGUGUAAGUAACUGUGCACAUCUUGACGGUACCUAAUCAGAAAGCCGCGGCUAACUACGUG
rnacentral:rRNA from 1 species